UGUAAAAGGCUGGAGAGAGAGAGAAAGAGAAGGCAUCUCGUGUUCAUUCGAGGGUUUUCCUUGGGAAGAGCUAUCCCUGUGCCCAGCCUGGUAGGAGAGAGAGAGAGGAGGAAAAGAAUUGGGGACGAGAAGGAUUUUGUUCUUAGUAUUGGGGUUUUUCUUAGCCAAUUUCUCUUCCCUCUAAUCGAGGAUUUGGUUUCCCCCUUCCCAAUCUCUGCCUCUCCUUGUUGCUCGCUUAGGAUCCACGAGUGAGAUCAAAAUAGGUCCUUCGAUCGGGGGGAAUUGAUGUGUUUGUUGAUUGAUAGGGCCUUUUAUUUGAUUGGUUGGUGUGGUUUCUGGAUUUAUUGAUCGUUCUUGGAGUCUAGGGUUCCUGUUUUGUUUUUGUUUGUAUAGAUGGACGAGGCCUGGGAGAGGGCCGUGGAGGCGGCGCUCGGAGGUCAGGCGGACUCGUCGUCAUCAUCGUCGGCGCCGCCUCGGACCCUCACCCUUGACGGCUCCGUGAAGUGCCUCCACGGCCGUCUGCCGCCACCCGAGAUCCUGGAGCCGUACCAGUCGCUGGAGCACCUCUCGAUCGCUAACGUCGGAGUGUCGUCGCUGGAGAAGUUCCCGCGCCUUCGGAACUUGCAGCGGCUUAUACUCUCCGACAACCGCAUCGCCGGGGGGCUCGAGUUCUUGGUGGAGGCGGGUCUGGAUUCGCUGCGGGACCUCGAUCUAUCCAACAACCGGAUCCAGUUCCUGGAGGACUUGGCGCCUCUGGCUCACCUCCGGCUCGUAUCCUUAGAUCUGUAUGAAUGCCCUGUUACUAGGACCAAAGAUUAUCGAUCAAGGGUAUUUGGAAUGAUCAGGACUCUGAAAUAUCUAGACAAGAUGGAUGCCGAUGAGAAUGAGCGACCAGAGUCUGACGAGGAAGAGGAGGAGGAGGAAGAUGAUGAUGAGGAGGAUGAGGAUGAGGAUCCUGGCAGUGGCGAGGUUGAUGGUGAUGAUCAGGCUGGGAGGUUGGUGAACGGUGUUGGUAGUGGCGCUAGAGGAGGUGGGAUUGUCGAUGUCGAUGAGGAAGAUGAGAGUGAUGCUGAAGAGGAGGACGCUGAAACGGCUAGGAGGGCCGAUUCCAAUGCAUCAUUACAGAGGUAUCAUCUAGCUAAUGGAUUUCGGGUGGCCCCAGUCGGUGUUUCUUCUUUAGACGGGGAAGAAGAUGAGGACGAAGAGGAGGACGUCGAAGAUGAUGAUGACGAAGAGGAAGACAAUGAUGAAGAUCUGGGGGAGGAGAUUGAUGCAGAGGAUGGUGACGAGGAGGAUGUGGUUGAGGUGCAUGACGUUGGGGACAGCGAUGAGGAUAUUGAUGGGGUCGAAGAGGAUGGCGAGGAAGAGGUGGAUGAAGAGGAAGAGGAUGACGAGGAUGGUAGCGGGGAAGAAGACCAGGAGGACGUCGAGGAUGAAGAGGAUGACGGUGUGCCUGGAAGCUCGGGGAGAUUGAUUAAUGCAGAAGGGGAGAUUGAUGGUCACGAGCAAGGCGAAGGGGAUGAGGAUGAGAAUGGAGAGAUUGGCGAGGAGGAUGAACAAGGAGUGGAUGACGAUAGAUUUUCUGAAGAGGGCGAUGGCGAGGAUGAUGAUGAGGAUGAUGAUAUUGGCGGGGAAUAUCUGGUGCAGCCGAUUGCUCAACCUCCAACAGUAAGAAGAGAUUUUGAUGCUUGCAAUGAUGAAGAAGAAGAUGAAGUUGAUGACGAGGAAGAUGAUCCUCACAGGAACACUACCUUGCCACACCAGCCUUCCUCUUCUCAGCCUAACAAGAGGAAGAGAGAUGAAGAAGAUGACAUAGAUGAUCAGAAUCUGAGAUCCUCCAAGCAUCCUUGAUGAUUCACCAGCAGUUUGAAGGACAUGAUAUUGCAUCGAACACCUGGUGUGCCUGAUGCUGUUGUCAGGUCUUGCGGGAAUGCGGUUGCAUCCGCUGAUGUGGAGAGAACCACAUGCGUCGGUGGGAAAAUUUUGGUGGCUCCCCAAAGUGCUGUGAUAUGGGGCUUAGCGGUGCCAACACGCCAAAGGCCCGCUAUGGCCACCGCCCGGUCCCGUUACCCAUCUCAUUCAUCGAGUUGCAUCGCGUCGGAUCGCGCCCCUGCCAGCGGUGCUGUGAUACCAAUUAAUCAAUGAUGGACUCCGAUCCGCCAUCGUUGGAUUGCAAAAUGCGGCCCACUCCAUGCGCUUGCGAGUCACUGAUCUCCUAAAAGCAUUGAAUCUGAUCCGAGACGUGUUUCUCCCAAGUCUGACUGCGGUGGCUGCAUUCAACUAUAUAAUUGCAGUACUUCAGAAAUACUCAAACCGUGAUACUUACGACGAAAGGGGACAUAUCUGUAAAUUUGCAUAAAUUGUACGUCGCAAGCGGCGUCAGAAACGUGACACGAGACUCACAUGCUUGACAUGUUGAUUCCAUGGAUGUAGGUCUUCCUCCUUAGCCGCGAUCUGUUGGGUUCAACCUGACCCGGAAGAAGAUAAGCGGUCGGGCUCCAUGGGCAUGGCGCGGAGAAACGAACGGCCCCGGGGCGACAACCCAGGAUAAGGAGGUGCUCGCAUCUCCUCCGCUGCUGCACAUGGCGUCUGCGUCUCUCACGAGCCUGCUCCUCCCUCCUGCUUCCGGGUCCCUGCUUCGCUCGCCUGACCGUCGCGUGCGGCGGCAGGCGUCCAUCAAGUGCAAGGCGAAGGACGCCGGGAGCAGCAGCGGCGGCGGGGGCGGGGGUCUCGAGAUCGCGGUGGCGGCGGGCGGCCUGCUGUCGUGCCCGGUGAUCGGAGUCUCCCUGUACACGCUGAAGACCACGGGCUGCGGGCUGCCGCCGGGUCCCGGCGGGUCGUUCGGGGCGGCGGAGGGGGUGAGCUACCUGGUGGUGGCGGGCAUCGUGGGGUGGUCGCUCUACACCAAGACCAAGACCGGGUCGGGACUGCCCGCGGGGCCGUACGGCCUCCUGGGGGCCGCUGAGGGGCUCUCCUACCUCGCCGCGCUCGCCGUCAUCGUCGUCUUCGGCUUGCAGUUCUUGGAGCGAGGGUACAUUCCCGGACCUCUCCCCGGUGACCAGUGCUUUGGGUGAGCUUGAUCCUUUGUUUAUCUUGUCUCCCCCUCUGAUUGCCGAAGCAGUACUUUAUUACCUGUUCUUUCCUUAUGACAUAUAUUAAAAGAUCAAAAAGAUGAAUUGUGCAUGUAAUAAUUUGAUUUACGAUUUUAAAAGUAUAUAUCGUAUUUGCUAA